GAUGAAGAACGUAGUGAAAUGCGAUAAGUAAUGUGAAUUGCAGAAUUCAGUGAAUCAUCGAAUCUUUGAACGCACCUUGCGCUCUUUGGUAUUCCGAAGAGCAUGCCUGUUUGAGUGUCAUGAAAAUAUCAACCUUGACUUGGGUUUUGUGCUCUAGUCUCGGCUUGGAAUUGGGUGCUUGCCGCUUUUACGAGCGGCUCACCUUAAAUGUAUUAGCUGGAUCUGUCUUUGAGACUUGGUUUGACUUGGCGUAAUAAGUAUUUCGCUAAGGACAUUCUUCGGAGUGGCCUCGUUUCUAGGACGCUUGUCCGCUUUCCAAUACAAGUUCCACCUCGUGGACAUGACUUUUUAUUAUCUGGCCUCAAAUCAGGUAGGACUACCCGCUGAACUUAAGCAUAUCAUAAGCGGAGGA
rnacentral:misc_RNA from 1 species